rnacentral:rRNA from 2 species
UGAGGAAUAUUGGUCAAUGGGCGAGAGCCUGAACCAGCCAAGUAGCGUGAAGGAUGACUGCCCUAUGGGUUGUAAACUUCUUUUAUAUAGGAAUAAAGUGAGCCACGUGUGGCUUUUUGUAUGUACUAUAUGAAUAAGGAUCGGCUAACUCCGUGCCAGCAGCCGCGGUAAUACGGAGGAUCCAAGCGUUAUCCGGAUUUAUUGGGUUUAAAGGGAGCGUAGGCGGAAGCUUAAGUCAGUCUGUGAAAGUUUGCGGCUCAACCGUAAAAUUGCAGUUGAUACUGGGUUUCUUGAGUACAGUAGAGGUAAGCGGAAUUCGUGGUGUAGCGGUGAAAUGCUUAGAUAUCACGAAGAACUCCAAUUGCGAAGGCAGCUUGCUGGACUGUAACUGACGCUGAUGCUCGAAAGUGUGGGUAUCAAACAGG